rnacentral:tRNA from 1 species
CCCUGGUUAGCGCAGUUGGCAGAGCGCUGCACUAGAGAUUGAGAGAUCCCUGGUUCGACACCAGGACCAGACG